CCAGCAGCCGCGGUAAUUCCUACGGGAGGCAGCAGUGGGGAAUUUUGGACAAUGGGCGCAAGCCUGAUCCAGCCAUGCUGCGUGAGUGAAGAAGGCCUUCGGGUUGUAAAGCUCUUUCAGUUGGGAAGAAACGAUUACAACUAAUAAUUGUAAUUAAUGACGGUACCGACAGAAGAAGCACCGGCUAACUACGUGCCAGCAGCCGCGGUAAU
rnacentral:rRNA from 1 species